AUUGAACGCUGGCGGCAGGCCUAACACAUGCAAGUCGAACGGUAGCACAGAGGAGCUUGCUCCUUGGGUGACGAGUGGCGGACGGGUGAGUAAUGUCUGGGAAACUGCCCGAUGGAGGGGGAUAACUACUGGAAACGGUAGCUAAUACCGCAUAACGUCUUCGGACCAAAGUGGGGGACCUUCGGGCCUCACACCAUCGGAUGUGCCCAGAUGGGAUUAGCUAGUAGGUGGGGUAAUGGCUCACCUAGGCGACGAUCCCUAGCUGGUCUGAGAGGAUGACCAGCCACACUGGAACUGAGACACGGUCCAGACUCCUACGGGAGGCAGCAGUGGGGAAUAUUGCACAAUGGGCGCAAGCCUGAUGCGGCCAUGCCGCGUGUAUGAAGAAGGCCUUCGGGUUGUAAAGUACUUUCAGCGGGGAGGAAGGCGUUAAGGUUAAUAACCUUGGCGAUUGACGUUACCCGCAGAAGGAGCACCGGCUAACUCCGUGCCAGCCGCCGCCGUAA
rnacentral:rRNA from 1 species